GAUGAAUGCUGGCGGCGUGCCUAAUACAUGCAAGUCGAGCGGUAAGGCCCUUCGGGGUACACGAGCGGCGGGACGGCUGAGUAACGCGUGGGAACAUGCCCCAAAGUGAGGGAUAACGCACCGAAAGGUGUGCUAAUACCGCAUAUGGUCUUCGGAUUAAAGGAUUAUCCGCUUUGGGAGCGGCCCGCGUACGAUUAGAUUGUUGGUGAGGUAACGGCUCACCAAGUCGACGAUCGUUAACUGGUCUGAGAGGAUGAUCAGUCAGACUGGAACUGAGACACGGUCCAGACUCCUACGGGAGGCAGCAGUAAGGAAAUCUUCCACAAUGGGCGAAAGACCUGAUGGAGCAACGCCGCGUG
rnacentral:rRNA from 1 species